UUAAGUGAAUAAGGGCGCACGGUGGAUGCCUUGGCACUAGGAGCCGAUGAAGGACGGGACUAACACCGAUAUGCUUUGGGGAGCUGUACGUAAGCUAUGAUCCAGAGAUUUCCGAAUGGGGGAACCCAACAUCUUUAAUAGGAUGUUACGAUUGUGUGAAUACAUAGCACAUUCGAGGUAGACGCAGAGAACUGAAACAUCUAAGUACCUGCAGGAAGAGAAAGAAAAUUCGAUUCCCUGAGUAGCGGCGAGCGAAACGGGAAAAGCCCAAACCAGCAAGCUUGCUUGUUGGGGUUGUAGGACUCCAAUAUGGUAGUUCUUUCAGAUAGUCGAAUGACUUGGAAAAGUCAGUCAAAGAGGGUAAAAACCCCGUAGACGAAAUGUGGAAGACACCUAGGAGGAUCCUGAGUACGGCGGAACACGAGAAAUUCCGUCGGAAUCCGGGAGGACCAUCUCCCAAGGCUAAAUACUCCCUAGUGACCGAUAGUGAACCAGUACCGUGAGGGAAAGGUGAAAAGCACCCCGGAAGGGGAGUGAAAUAGAACCUGAAACCGUGUGCCUACAACAAGUCAAAGCCCGUUAAUGGGUGAUGGCGUGCCUUUUGUAGAAUGAACCGGCGAGUUACGAUUGCAUGCGAGGUUAAGUUGAAGAGACGGAGCCGCAGCGAAAGCGAGUCUGAAUAGGGCGUUUGAGUAUGUAGUCGUAGACCCGAAACCAUGUGAUCUACCCAUGUCCAGGUUGAAGGUGCGGUAAAACGCACUGGAGGACCGAACCCACGUACGUUGAAAAGUGCGGGGAUGAGGUGUGGGUAGCGGAGAAAUUCCAAACGAACUUGGAGAUAGCUGGUUCUCUCCGAAAUAGCUUUAGGGCUAGCCUCGGAAUUGAGAAUGAUGGAGGUAGAGCACUGUUUGGACUAGGGGCCCAUCUCGGGUUACCGAAUUCAGAUAAACUCCGAAUGCCAUUCAUUCAUAUCCGGGAGUCAGACUGUGAGUGAUAAGAUCCAUAGUCGAAAGGGAAACAGCCCAGACCACCAGCUAAGGUCCCAAAAUAUAUGUUAAGUGGAAAAGGAUGUGGGGUUGCACAGACAACUAGGAUGUUGGCUUAGAAGCAGCCACCAUUUAAAGAGUGCGUAAUAGCUCACUAGUCGAGUGACCCUGCGCCGAAAAUGUACCGGGGCUAAACAUAUUACCGAAGCUGUGGAGUACACCUUUAGGUGUAUUGGUAGGAGAGCGUUCUAAGGGCGUUGAAGGCAGAUCGUGAGGACUGCUGGAGCGCUUAGAAGUGAGAAUGCCGGUAUGAGUAGCGAAAGACAGGUGAGAAUCCUGUCCACCGAAUGACUAAGGUUUCCUGGGGAAGGCUCGUCCGCCCAGGGUUAGUCGGGACCUAAGCCGAGGCCGACAGGCGUAGGCGAUGGAUAACAGGUUGAUAUUCCUGUACCCGUUGUUUUUGUUUGAGCAAUGGAGGGACGCAGGAGGCUAAGGAAUGCAGACGAUCGGAAAUGUCUGUCCAAGCAGUAAGUCUGAAGAGGAGUCAAAUGCUUCUUUUCUUAAGGACAAGCUGUGAUGGGGAGGGAAAUAAUAGUACCGAAGUUCCUGAUGUCACACUGCCGAGAAAAGCUUCUAGUGAGAAAACAGCGGCCCGUACCGCAAACCGACACAGGUAGUCGAGGAGAGAAUCCUAAGGUGAGCGAGAGAACUCUCGUUAAGGAACUCGGCAAAAUGACCCCGUAACUUCGGGAGAAGGGGUGCUGAUCAUACGAUCAGCCGCAGUGAAUAGGCCCAAGCGACUGUUUAUCAAAAACACAGGUCUCUGCAAAAUCGUAAGAUGAAGUAUAGGGGCUGACGCCUGCCCGGUGCUGGAAGGUUAAGAGGAGUGCUUAGCGCAAGCGAAGGUACGAAUUGAAGCCCCAGUAAACGGCGGCCGUAACUAUAACGGUCCUAAGGUAGCGAAAUUCCUUGUCGGGUAAGUUCCGACCCGCACGAAAGGCGUAACGAUUUGGGCACUGUCUCAACGAGAGACUCGGUGAAAUUUUAGUACCUGUGAAGAUGCAGGUUACCCGCGACAGGACGGAAAGACCCCAUGGAGCUUUACUGUAGUUUGAUAUUGAGUGUCUGUACCGCAUGUACAGGAUAGGUAGGAGCCGUAGAAAUCGGAACGCUAGUUUCGAUGGAGGCGCUGGUGGGAUACUACCCCUGCGUUAUGGCCACUCUAACCCGCACCACUGAUCGUGGUGGGAGACAGUGUCAGAUGGGCAGUUUGACUGGGGCGGUCGCCUCCUAAAAGGUAACGGAGGCGCCCAAAGGUUCCCUCAGAAUGGUU
rnacentral:rRNA from 1 species